rnacentral:rRNA from 1 species
UACGUAGGGUCCGAGCGUUGUCCGGAAUUACUGGGCGUAAAGGGCUCGUAGGCGGCCAACUAAGUCGGAUGUGAAAUCCCCAGGCUCAACUUGGGAACUGCAUCCGAUACUGGAUGGCUUGAAUUCGGGAGAGGGAUGCAGAAUUCCAGGUGUAGCGGUGAAAUGCGUAGAUAUCUGGAGGAAUACCGGUGGCGAAGGCGGCAUCCUGGACCGACAUUGACGCUGAGGAGCGAAAGCUAGGGGAGCAAACGGG